rnacentral:piRNA from 1 species
UAACCAAGAAAUGGGCAUCUUCUC